rnacentral:lncRNA from 1 species
GAGGAACUGCUUCAUCCUCCAAAUUUGAUCUAGCAGGGAGAUGUCCUCCACGGCUGGAUCUAAGAAGAAGUGAUUGUUGAUGAGUGGGUUCAGCUGGUGCCUUUUAAUCUUCAAACGGUCGUGUAUGCUGGCACCCUUGUCUUCCACCAUGGGUGUGUGUUGGUCAACUUCAUGUUUACCUCCUGCAACAUGGUUAAUGCAAUAUGGUUCAACAGAAAUAACAUGCAGGGGUAUAACACCUAAUCUCAGUGUAACAAGCUGAC